UACGUAGGGGGCAAGCGUUGUCCGGAAUCAUUGGGCGUAAAGCGCGUGUAGGCGGCCCGGUAAGUCCGCUGUGAAAGUCGGGGGCUCAACCCUCGGAUGCCGGUGGAUACUGUCGGGCUAGAGUGCGGGAGAGGCGAGUGGAAUUCCUGGUGUAGCGGUGAAAUGCGUAGAUAUUGGGAGGAACACCAGUGGCGAAGGCGGCUCACUGGACCGGUACUGACGCUGAUGCGCGAAAGCGUGGGGAGCAAACGGGG
rnacentral:rRNA from 1 species